CUUAUUAUUCCUCAGACCCUUGGAAGGCAGGGGGAGUUGGGAAUUAGGGACUUAAGGGCCAAAACGGGUAGUUUCCAGGGUGUUCCUUGCUCUAGACUGCCCCGAGGUUGAUUUGACUCUGAUUCAGCUGACUUGUAGGAAGAUCUAAUUGGUACCUGUCCACCCUCCUCCUCGCUCAUAGUUUUUCAGCAACAUCUACCUUUCCUGGAAGCUGGAAGCUCCGGUGCCAAGACCCCGUCCUACCAAGUCCCCUCUGAAGCUUGGGAGGAGCACUCACAGUGUGGUCAGCUGGUCUUGCUCUGUAAAAUGAGAACCAUUAAGAUACUGUAACUGCAGUUGAGGAAAACUGCUAAUUCUUCCUUCUUUGGAUUUCCCUCUGCCAUACUUCAUGGUGGCCACAGGCAGGAUGAAAAUCUUGGAGAACGCCAAAGCCUGUAAGCAUCCAAGCCACAGUGGCUGAGAUGGGUUUGUGCACACCCGUUUUAUAGACCAUGCGUGCACUUGGUCUGAGUACAAGGGCCGAAGAGGAAAAGAUACAUGAGCCACGCCUUUGUGCUACCUUUGAACGAGGCAAUCUGAACCGUUUCCCAUGGUUGCCACCGUGUACUGGAGGAAAUGACGCCGGCAGGAACAUGAUAUAUUUGCAACUUGGCAUGCAUGGACAUUUUUAUUAUUGAAAAAGAAGUUAUCUAUUUAAACAGCAAUAAGAAAGUCAGACCAGUGAUGUCUAUGAUCCUUCAGAUCUAAGAAGAUCAGAUUAAUGCCUUGUGACCUCGUGCGUAUUACUCCUGUGGCAGAGGUACAAAGGUUGCUUUAUUGUGUACAUCUUAUUGAUCAGGAGACUGAUGUACAUAUGGGGAUAUAAGUACAUUGCAUGCUUUAGUAAAAAGCCACUUUGGCAUUAGAAAUUGAGCUGGCUUUGGUAUCAAAACUGGUUAAUCCAGCUGACAAAUUUUGAGGAUCUCUUCAAAAUAAUUUCUCCUCUCAUUAAUCAAUAACAGUAGCUUGCCAUGCCUCAUAUUUAUGCAUUGUGGGGGUUUUCUUGUAUCUUCAUAAACAUCUUGGUCUUCUG